GUCCGGGUCCUGCGGCGGGCGGCUGGAUGGCGAGCGGAGACGGGAGGCCUGGGCUUGGGCAGCGGUGGCGGUGUCCUGGCCCCGCCGGUGACGGAGGGCUUUGAUGAGGCCCGGCGGCCGCGUGCUUGCCAGGAAGGCCCGGGGCUUGAGGCCCUGGAAGGCCUGGCCCGUUCAGGAGUCCCGGCUGUUUGGGGGAAUGUCCCACGCCCUGUGGGGAUUUGAGCCGUGUCUCCCGGCCGACUUGGGUGUCCCGGUUGGUGUGUGGUCGGGACUGGGAGGGGCUUGGUGCGGGCGGGAACCGCCGGGUAGCGACCACGUCUCGUCAGGGGGUUCGUGCCUGCUGCUGGGCACGGGAACGGCUCCGGGGGGGUCUUACGGGCGCUGAGGGGAUUCCGCAUCAUGGAGAGGUCAAGGGGAGUUGGUGGCCGUCACCCUUCGUCAGGGCAGGGUAGCAUCAGUGCGCCCGUGCUGGGGUUCCUGGAGAGCCGGCUGGCACGGACAGACUCUUGUGAGGGCAAGUGGCUAAUCGUGCGUCGGAUGGGUCCAGCAAAGGAGAGAAAGCUUCGGUGCGCGCGCGCUCGCCAGGGAAAGGGUGACAGCGGGUGGGACCCAGAGGGAGAGAACAAAGGAAGAGAGAGGGUUUCCGCAGGGGCGGUGAGUCCUGGCGGAAGUCCUGAGGCAGAGGAGGUGCCAGGGGUUUGGGUUUCCCGGUCGUGUCGGGGGUGUGGCGCAGGUUGCCCCAGUGGGCCUGAAUGUGCCUCCGUGGGGCACCUUGUUGCCGUGUUGGGGGGCGGGGAGCCGGCCUUGGGGAUCCAUCUUUCGGGCCCUGGGACGUGGGAGAAGAAUGCCGGGGCCUCUCUCUGUGCCCCUGGCACGCCUCUGUGCAGGCCGGGCCUGCACCCCCCCCCGCGCCCGUCCCCCAGGCAGGGUCCGUGUGGCUGCAGACACCCAGAGAGAGGGGAGGCUGGGGAGGCUGGGGAGCCGUGGCAGCCCGAUGCAGUGCGGGUCUCCAGGUGGAGGGGCCCUGGUCCCCUGGCGCCAGCGUGGCCCUUCCUCCUUGUGGAAACCCUUGUGGUGUGUGUGCUCUCUCGCCCUGACCCAGGAGAGCAGCAUGGCGGACCCCUGAUCUUGUGGCGUGCCACCGCGCGAGGCCGAGGAGCUCCCGCAGCCCAGUGGGCGUGGCGUCCUUGUCGCGGCUCUGUGGAGACCUGGCGAUGGAGAGCAGCAUGGCGGACCCCUGAUCUUGUGGCGUGCCACCGCGCGAGGCCGAGGAGCUCCCGCAGCCCAGUGCGCGUGGCGUCCUUGUCGCGGCUCUGUGGAGACCUGGCGAUGGUGAGCGGCCCCUGUCCUCAGUGGUGGAGAACUCGCCCUUGGGGCGCUCGUCUGUCCGGAGCCCCGGGCCAGCCCCGCUUCUCGCGGGCUUUGGCCCCGGCAGGCCAGCUCCGGGGGCGUGAGGGGGAGCGUCCCGUCCUGCCCAGUGGCUCGUCUGUCUGGGCACGCCCCCAAACGCUGCCGUGAUGGAGCGGGUGGGAUGUCCAGGUGCGGAGGCCGUGAAUUUGCCUUGCGGCGGCGGAGCCCGUGCUCGGAUCGAUGAUGACUCCCUCUAAAGCAUUCCUUGGAAAUCUGAACAAAAUGAGUGAGAACUCACUACCGUCUCCUCAUCGAAACUGAGGUCCGGCACGUGGCGGCCACCGGGGGCUCGGGGGUAGAUGGGCCCUUGGCCUUGGGGCCUCUGGGUGUCAGCAGCCACUCGGGUGAGGUCUGGGG
ensembl:lncRNA